rnacentral:rRNA from 1 species
AGCGAACGCUGGCGGCAGGCUUAACACAUGCAAGUCGAGCGGGCAUAGCAAUAUGUCAGCGGCAGACGGGUGAGUAACGCGUGGGAACGUACCUUUUGGUUCGGAACAACACAGGGAAACUUGUGCUAAUACCGGAUAAGCCCUUACGGGGAAAGAUUUAUCGCCGAAAGAUCGGCCCGCGUCUGAUUAGCUAGUUGGUGAGGUAAUGGCUCACCAAGGCGACGAUCAGUAGCUGGUCUGAGAUGAUGAUCAGCCACAUUGGGACUGAGACACGGCCCAAACUCCUACGGGAGGCAGCAGUGGGGAAUAUUGGACAAUGGGCGCAAGCCUGAUCCAGCCAUGCCGCGUGAGUGAUGAAGGCCCUAGGGUUGUAAAGCUCUUUUGUGCGGGAAGAUAAUGACGGUACCGCAAGAAUAAGCCCCGGCUAACUUCGUG